UGGGCGAAAGCCUGACGCAGCAACGCCGCGUGAGGGAUGAAGGCCUUCGGGUUGUAAACCUCUUUCGAGCAGGGACGAUAAUGACGGUACCUGCAGAAGAAGCUCCGGCCAACUACGUGCCAGCAGCCGCGGUAAUACGUAGGGAGCGAGCGUUGUCCGGAUUCAUUGGGCGUAAAGAGCUCGUAGGCGGCUUGAUAAGUCGGAUGUGAAACCUCCAGGCUCAACCUGGAGCCGCCAUCCGAUACUGUCAUAGCUAGAGUCCGGUAGGGGCCCACGGAACUCCUGGUGUAGCGGUGAAAUGCGCAGAUAUCAGGAAGAACACCGGUGGCGAAGGCGGUGGGCUGGGCCGGCACUGACGCUGAGGAGCGAAAGCGUGGGGAGCGAACAGGAUUAGAUACCCUGGUAGUCCACGCCGUAAACGUUGGGCACUAGGUGUGGGGCCUUAUCAACGGGCUCCGUGCCGUAGCUAACGCAUUAAGUGCCCCGCCUGGGGAGUACG
rnacentral:rRNA from 1 species